ACUGACGCUGAGGCUCGAAAGCGUGGGGAGCAAACAGGAUUAGAUACCUGGUAGUCCACGCCGUAAACGAUGAGUGCUAAGUGUUAGGGGGUUUCCCCCUUUAGUGCUGCAGCUAACGCAUUAAGCACUCCGCUGGGGAGUACGACCGCAAGGUUGAAACUCAAAGGAAUUGACGGGGGCCCGCACAAGCGGUGGAGCAUGUGGUUUAAUUCGAAGCAACGCGAAGAACCUUACCAGGUCUUGACAUCCUUUGACAACUCUAGAGAUAGAGCUUUCCCUUCGGGGACAAAGUGACAGGUGGUGCAUGGUUGUCGUCAGCUCGUGUCGUGAGAUGUUGGGUUAAGUCCCGCAACGAGCGCAACCCUUAUUGUUAGUUGCCAUCAUUCAGUUGGGCACUCUAGCGAAACUGCCGGUGACAAACCGGAGGAAGGUGGGGAUGACGUCAAAUCAUCAUGCCCCUUAUGACCUGGGCUACACACGUGCUACAAUGGACAGUACAAUGAGCAGCGACACGGCGACGUGAAGCGAAUCUCAUAAAGCUGUUCUCAGUUCGGAUUGUAGGCUGCAACUCGCCUACAUGAAGCCGGAAUCGCUAGUAAUCGCGGAUCAGCACGCCGCGGUGAAUACGUUCCCGGGCCUUGUACACACCGCCCGUCACACCACGAAAGUUUGUAACACCCAAAGUCGGUGAGGUAACCUUCGGGAGCCAGCCGCCUAAGGUGGGAUAGAUGAUUGGGGUGAAGUCGUAACAAGGUAACCA
rnacentral:rRNA from 1 species